rnacentral:rRNA from 1 species
ACUCCUACGGGAGGCAGCAGUGGGGAAUAUUGCACAAUGGGGGAAACCCUGAUGCAGCCAUGCCGCGUGUGUGAAGAAGGCCUUCGGUUGUAAAGCACUUUCAGUAGGGAGGAAGGUAGUGUAGUUAACACCUGCAUUAUUUGACGUUACCUACAGAAGAAGCACCGGCUAACUCCGUGCCAGCAGCCGCGGUAAUACGGAGGGUGCGAGCGUUAAUCGGAAUUACUGGGCGUAAAGCGCAUGCAGGCGGCCUGUUAAGUCAGAUGUGAAAGCCCGGGGCUUAACCUCGGAAUUGCAUUUGAAACUGGCAGGCUAGAGUCUUGUAGAGGGGGGUAGAAUUUCAGGUGUAGCGGUGAAAUGCGUAGAGAUCUGAAGGAAUACCAGUGGCGAAGGCGGCCCCCUGGACAAAGACUGACGCUCAGAUGCGAAAGCGUGGGGGAGCAAACAGGAUUAGAUA